AUGGUUAAGGGGAGAAGAGAGGGUGAGUUUAUCGUGCUGGCUAAUAGACACUGGUGACGAAGCUAAACUGACAGAAGGUAAAACGAAAACGAGCGUGCGACUUCUGGUUGCUCUGGAGAGACGGUGAUAGUGCUGGUAGUGAUGGCUUGGUUUUUGUAUAGCUAACUGCUUUCUCUUUUCUCUUUCUCUUUUGAUGGAUGCAACAAGCAACAAGCUGGCUUUUCUGCAACUUGGCACUCAGAUAGAAGUAGGACAAGUGUAGAACCUUCUUGGUGAGGUGAUGAAAAAAUAAAUAAAUUAUUGGGUUUUGAGGGAAAUAUAUAGAACAAUUAGAACACAAAAAUUCCCGCAUUGAAUGGGUGAUCUAGAAUUUGGUAUUGUAAUUGAGAGUGUCUCUUUCAGUGUUUCCAGUACAAUAAGGGGUUCAGCUAAUUCUCACGGCUUUCAAUUAUUCAUUAUUAGAAGAAUUAAUGGAUAGAACAUUAAUUGUUAUCUGGUAAUUUUCUUUUCUGUGAAAAGUAUGUUUUGUUGGACCUUCCUUCCCCCCUUGCCUGCAUGUUUCCUUUUCAGCUUUCCGUAGCUUCAAUUGCCUUUUUCAUGUGUUUGCAUUCUUUUUUCUUUUAGGUCAUUUGGAAUAUCCUCUCCAUCCCGAGCCAUGAUGAUUCCCCUAUUCUUUGUGGGGACCAUGUCUGCCUGCUUCCUAAGAAAUGACUGCACACACCAAUUAGUUAAAGCCUUGUACAUCUCAUACGCGGCUUCAUGAUUGAAUUCCAAGGUAUAUGCUUAGCAUUACCAACACCACUUACAAUCACCACCCAACCCACAACCUACACCAUUUAAUACACACAAAAAGGGACUAAUCACUCUACAAAUCCUUUGCACCUACCCUACAUGUCUAAAUUUAUGCUUCUCCUUGCCAUCUUGAAUUAUUGAAGUUGCUAAAUAUGUAUGUUCAUGGUUUAAAAGAGAUCAAAAGUGGUGAGGUUAAUUGAAAGUGAAGUCAUAAUGUAGUAAUAUAUCGGUUUUUGGUUAUCUGUUUUACUUAUUGCUGCUUAACGGUUGUUGUUGAUGUGACAUAAUAUUCGUUAUGAAUGAAUGAGUGAGUGAGAGAGAGAGAGAGAGGAGUAGAAGCAUUGUCCAUAGGUGCCAUGUAGAAUGUGAUGAUUACACACGUGUCCACCCUCAUCCAUGUCAUCAUGGAUCCAAAUGUGCACUUUCCAGCCUUCCACAUUCCAUUUUCCUUUUUCCAUAUGAUGAACCAAAUAUCGAUAUAAGAUAAAUGAUGAAACUACAACACUUCCAUGUGCUCUGCUGCAUUCCUAUUUUUGCUUCGGAUCUGCACCCAUUUUUAACUUUAAUCAAUUUUAUUAUUAUUUCUCACCUCAGCUACUAUAUAUUUAAUCCACUACCUUCACAACUUUAC
rnacentral:lncRNA from 1 species